GAUGAACGCUAGCUACAGGCUUAACACAUGCAAGUCGAGGGGUAACGAGAGGAAAGCUUGCUUUCCUUGUCGACGACCGGCGCACGGGUGAGUAACGCGUAUCCAACCUGCCCCCAACUAGGGAAUAACCUUGCGAAAGUAAGACUAAUACCCUAUAAUUUCCUCAGAUGACAUCUGACGAGGACUAAAGAUUUAUCGGUUGUGGAUGGGGAUGCGUCUGAUUAGCUUGUUGGCGGGGUAACGGCCCAACAAGGCAACGAUCAGUAGGGGUUCUGAGAGGAAGGUCCCCCACAUUGGAACUGAGACACGGUCCAAACUCCUACGGGAGGCAGCAGUGAGGAAUAUUGGUCAAUGGGCGGAAGCCUGAACCAGCCAAGUAGCGUGCAGGAUGACGGCCCUAUGGGUUGUAAACUGCUUUUAUACAGGAAUAAAGUUAGCCACGUGUGGUUAUUUGUAGGUACUGUAUGAAUAAGGACCGGCUAGUUCCGUGCCAGCCGCCGCCGUAA
rnacentral:rRNA from 1 species